GACGAACGCUGGCGGCGUGCCUAAUACAUGCAAGUCGAGCGAGUCUGCCUUGAAGAUCGGAGUGCUUGCACUCUGUGAAACAAGAUACAGGCUAGCGGCGGACGGGUGAGUAACACGUGGGUAACCUGCCCAAGAGAUCGGGAUAACACCUGGAAACAGAUGCUAAUACCGGAUAACAACAGAUGAUGCCUAUCAACUGUUUAAAAGAUGGUUCUGCUAUCACUCUUGGAUGGACCUGCGGUGCAUUAGCUAGUUGGUAGGGUAACGGCCUACCAAGGCGAUGAUGCAUACCGGGGUGGAGGGGCGGACCGGCCCCAUGGGGACUGAGACACGCCCAAAACCCCGCCGGGAGGAAGAAGUGGGGAAUUUUCCACAAGGGGGGAAGGUCGGGUGGAGCAGCGCGGGGGGAGGGAAGAGGGGUUUGGGCUGUAAAAGCUGUUUUGUGGGUGAAGAAGGACAGGGGUAGAAUCUGCCUUUGUUUGGAGGGUAAUAAAUAAAAAAGUCCCGGCUAACUAAGGG
rnacentral:rRNA from 1 species